UGGAUUUGCCGCAGCUCUCCUCCCCGACGCCACUCUCCCUCCCCGAUCCCGCUCCUCCCCAUCCAUGGCGCUCCGAUUCACCGCCACCAGCGAGCCCUCCCUCCUCCACUGACCCCUCUUCUUCCUUUCUUCUCCUUUACCAACUCCUAUUCCUCUCACCUUCCCCGACCCCCAGUUGCUCCGCCCCGUGCUCCGUCCUGCUGCCGGGAGCAACGUCCGAUGACCCCAGUUGCCCCGCCCGGACCUCCGUCCUGCUGCCGGGAGCAGCGGCCGCUGACCCCCAGUUUGCACUGCUGUCCCAGGUAGGUUUUCUUGAACACUAAGCUCACUAAAUCAGCAGGUUUAGUACCGGAUCGACCUCAAGCACACAGGAUCUGAACACCUCGAGGGGAGAUUGACAUUUUGACCAUCCCUGCACCUCAUCCCUGUUCUUAGAGGGCAAAUUUUUUGCAAGGACAACAAAGAAGCCACAUGUUCAAGUCUCUUCAAGUCUUACUUGAGUGAUCCUGAUGCAAGUUCAAGCCUCUUCAAGCCUUACUAGAGUGGUCCUGAUGCAAGUUCAAGCCUCUUCAAGUCUUACUAGAGUGGUCCUUAUGCAAAAGUUCAAGCCUCUUGGAUGCAAAUAUUUAUAUUUUAUGGUUGUAAUGCAUUUGUGAUGGCACACUGUAUUCUUUUGUGUUCCUUCUUAACACAAGCUUUGAAACUUUGAAGAUCUUGGUUUUCGACAAACGCAACGGAUCGACCUCAAGCACACAGGAUCUGAACACCUCGAGGGGAGAUUGACAUUUUGACCAUCCCUGCACCUCAUCCCUGUUCUUAGAGGGCAAUUUUUUUGCAAGGUUCGUCUGACUAAGCUUUUAAUUUGUGCCAAUGGAAACCUCUGUUCCAAGUUAAUUAGUUGCUGAUGCAUACCCCCAUUGUCCUGUACUCCCUGUUACGAAAGAGAUGAUGCUCGUGUAAUUGUAAUUUCUGCUGUAUUUGGGAGAGCAAGACGUGUUGAUGUGCAUUUGUAGGCAGGCCUUGUGAUGCCCGCCAUUCCAUUCCAAGUAGCAGAACAAAGAGCCAGUUGUACUCGCUAGUAAUGGUGCAUCUCUGACUAGCUCUUGCCGCAAGUUGAUUAGGAUUUGCAGAAAUUGGAUCUUUCAUAGGAACUUUAAAAUAUGCAAAUAUGGAAGGUUUUAGACGGAAUGGUUUGAUUAGGUUCUGCUGCUCUUUGUAAUGUAGCUAUGUUUUAGGACAAAUAUUGCCAAAGAUGAGAAAGGUUGCUCUGUUUUCGUUUUAGACUCUAAAAAGUGGACACGGGCUCUGGAGACGGUGUGUUAUCAGUUCUUACAAAAGUUAGAUUCACCAUAUUUUGCAUCCAUUAUUCAGGUCUGCCUAGCUCAAUAAGUUUAGGAAUAGAUUGAUCUGUUGUGGUUUUUGUAGCCUCUUAUAGAAAACAUUAGCAGACUGCUACAUUGGCCGGUGCUAAUUAACUAUUAUGUGGGUUAACUUUCAUGUUGAAAUAUUUAGUUGAGUUGCAUAUAUGCAUGUUGGUUGUUGGUCCAUCCGGUUGCACUUUUCAGAAAUUAAGCUCCUAUAUUACCACAUAUACACUAAGCUGGGUAUGCAUAGCAUCAUCCAUCAUGUGCAUAGCAGUGCGCACACUGCACACACUCCCUGCCUCGUUGAACCACAUGCAUAUAACCAUCUUGUUUGUCCAACAUGAAUCUGCUCUAACAACAUGAUUUUUUUUCAAUUGCCAUUUACUUCUCAAUAUAGAUGUCGGACUUG